GGAUUUUUGGGCGUAACAUUCUUUUGCUUUUGGAACUUCUGUCCCAUACGCACCAACUCCUUUCUCUCGGAUGUAGCCACAAACAAGAUAUAGAAAGAAAUAACAAUGAUAAGUGGGUAAACUUGGUUGUAUACCAGAAGCUGAGAGACUACAUGUUCCUAAGUAGACAAGAAAGCUCCCAGUAGGAAGUGAAUCCACCCCGAACACA
rnacentral:misc_RNA from 1 species